AACCCAUGAUUUGGGCAUUUUCUCAAUAAAGACUUAUAUCUCUCCCAGGCUUCACACAAAGGUUCAUCAGUGCCUUGAGAGAAAGUUGUAAUUGCUGAUUUGGCACU
rfam:Cajanus cajan Scaffold129685_9, whole genome shotgun sequence.